rnacentral:snoRNA from 1 species
CUGCAGCCAGUUAAGCCGACGGCCCCCCUCUCCCUAUGGGGGCCUGGUGUGCAGUGGCUGUGGACAGCAGCCUCCUAGGGGCCUGUUGCCUGUACAGGUUGCCCUAAGGGACCUUGGAGACAGCC